GAUGAACGCUGGCGGCGUGCCUAAUACAUGCAAGUCGAGCGAACAGAUGAGGAGCUUGCUCCUCUGACGUUAGCGGCGGACGGGUGAGUAACACGUGGAUAACCUACCUAUAAGACUGGGAUAACUUCGGGAAACCGGAGCUAAUACCGGAUAAUAUAUUGAACCGCAUGGUUCAAUAGUGAAAGACGGUUUUGCUGUCACUUAUAGAUGGUUCCGCGCCGCAUUAGCUAGUUGGUAAGGUAACGGCUUACCAAGGCAACGAUGCGUAGCCGACCUGAGAGGGUGAUCGGCCACACUGGAACUGAGACACGGUCCAGACUCCUACGGGAGGCAGCAGUAGGGAAUCUUCCGCAAUGGGCGAAAGCCUGACGGAGCAACGCCGCGUGAGUGAUGAAGGUCUUCGGAUCGUAAGACUCUGUGAUUGGGGAAGAACAAAUGUGUAAGUAACUAUGCACGUCUUGACGGUACCUAAUCAGAAAGCCACGGCUAACUACGUG
rnacentral:rRNA from 1 species